rnacentral:rRNA from 1 species
CUAGGGAACACGUAGGCAACAUGCCCAGGGGAGCUUUGGAUAACCUCGGGAGACUGGAGGAUAAACCGCGAUAGGUCACUACUUCUGGAAUGGGUAAUGACCCUUAACCUAGUAUGUGCCCCUGGAUUGGACUGCGGCCGAUCAGCUGUUGGUGAGGUUAAUGGCCCACCAAACCUGUAACCAGGUACGGGCUCUGAGAGGAGGAGCCCGGAGUAUGGGCACUGGAGACAAGGGCCCCAGCCCUAUGGGGCGCACAGGCGCGAAACCUCUGCAAUAGGCGAAAGCGUGACAGGGUUACGUGGGAGUGAUUUCCGUUAAGGAGAUCUUUUGGCACCUCUAAAAAUGGUGCAGAUAUAAGGGGUGGAGCAAUCUGGUUCCAGC